rnacentral:rRNA from 1 species
CAAUAGCGUAUAUUUAAGUUGCUGCAGUUAAAAAGCUCGUAGUUGGAUUUCGGGUGGGAAUGGCCGGUCCGCCGUUUCGGUGUGCACUUGCUACGCCCACCUUGCUGCCGGGGACGUGCUCUUGAGUUCACGCUCGGGACACGGAGUCGGCGAGGUUACUUUAAGUAAAUUAGAGUGUUCAAAGCAGGCCUACGCUCUGAAUACAUUAGCAUGGAAUAACACGAUAGGACUCUGGCCUAUCUUGUUGGUCUGUAGGACCGGAGUAAUGAUUAAGAGGGACAGUCGGGGGCAUUCGUAUUUCAUUGUCAGAGGUGAAAUUCUUGGAUUUAUGAAAGACGAACUACUGCGAAAGCAUUUGCCAAGGAUGUUUUCAUUAA